rnacentral:rRNA from 1 species
GUGGGGAAUAUUGGGCAAUGGGCGGAAGCCUGACCCAGCGACGCCGCGUGGGGGAAGAAGUCUUUCGGGAUGUAAACCCUUGUUGUACGGGACGAAGGAAGUGACGGUACCGUACGAGGAAGCCCCGGCAAACUACGUGCCAGCAGCCGCGGUAAUACGUAGGGGGCGAGCGUUGUCCGGAAUCACUGGGCGUAAAGCGCACGUAGGCGGGCUGUCAAGUCGGCCGUGAAAGGCACGGGCUCAAACGGUGCAUGUCGGUCGAUACUGGCGGUCUGGAGUAUGGGAGAGGGAACUGGAAUUCCCGGUGUAGCGGUGAGAUGCGUAGAUAUCGGGAGGAACACCAGUGGCGAAGGCGGGUUCCUGGCCCAUGACUGACGCUGAGGUGCGAAAGCCGGGGGAGCGAACGGGAUUAGAUACCCGAGUAUCC